ACUUGCUAAAAACUAACGUCAUAACAUAAACUAUGGGCUGACGGCACAUGUAAAGAUAUAUGAUAGUUGUGUUACCUUGACCAGCUCUCAGAGUUUCAACAGUUUGGUUGAAUUUUAUGUGUCGUUGCCCUGCUGUUAGUUAGUAGUUGGCUUCUUUUAUAACUGAUGACUGUAAAGUGAGAUUGUAUGGACCCAGUAGUGGAUCAUUCUGAAAAAAUGGCGAUUGGUUCACCGUAUUGCAACCACUUGGCGUUACUGUUACGAGAUGAGGCAAGAUUGGAAGGUUGGAAAACUCGCUAUAGCUUAUAGCGUAUACCUUUUGAGGACAUUGCAAUGUUUAUUAAGCGUGUCUAACUCAUCUAAUUCUUGUACAAGGUAUGAAGGAGGACCUCAGACUUCCAUCCCCAUGAAGAAAUGAGUAUUGCCUGCUGUAUCUGAUCUGCUGUAUCAAGCAUUGGAUCGAGUGAUACUGACAAAAUCGACUGAGCAGAUGAUUCAGAAAGUGAAGAUGCUGAGCAGGACAAGAUUGGGUGGAGUGUCGAGAGGCUGCCAGUUAGCCUACUGGUUUGGAUGAGACGGUGCAUGACACGACUGCUGAAUCUGACCCUUCAUCCAGAGCCGCACACCUCCAGUGAUCCAGCACUUCAAUCAAGUGCACCUCAUUUGUUGAGUGCAGAGGAUGCUGUUGGUGCAUCCAAAGUAUACAUUGCAUCAUAUGAUGAAUGCUUGAAGUACCUGACAGACUUUGUUGUUUUGCCAGUUCAACAAUGUUCUGUGAAACAGGAAAAAACAGGAGCUGUGAGUAUUUUAGAAUGGGUAAGUGAUUUCCAUAUCACAACAACAAUCUGGUGUUUGGUACACUGUAAGUGCACAUAACCAUAUGUUUUGUUCACAUGUACAGUUGAAUAACAUGACUACAUUAUAACAUAUGUCUCUGCAAUGAUCAUAGGAAAAAAAGUACAGAAAUAUGUUCAACAUGGCUUUCUUUAUGACUGUUAGAUCUGUGCCGAUGGACAUGCGUGUGUGCCAACAGGUUUCUCAGCCUAUGAUGAAGUACGGAUUACUGACUGGUGAUUUCAUGCUGUCGACAAACAACCUGCUGUCAGGAAGCAGUUACUACUACAAAAUUGCCCUAUUGUUCAAGUUUAUGAACAUGGGUCCAGUGGUGCCCACUAUUCUUUCCCAUAUAAGACACAUACUGUGUGGACACUAUUAAAAAAUAUUGGAUGGAGAAAAAAGGCUGAGGCAAUAGCAAGACUACAAGAUAAAGAUGUUUUGGUCUCUGGGAAGAGAUCCAUAUUUUUGUGAAAUUUAGAUCAAGAAGUUAUUAUCUUUUUUUUUUCUCAUCCUAAACUUCUAGCUGACGGGAGAAACAACACUGUGCAUGGUACUGCUGUUACACCACAAUGGAAAAUGACAUGCAAGGUCAUCAGUGUAGUCACAGAUGACAAUAGACAAACCGACCGACAAUCCGUUGUCAUGGAGAUCUUGACGAUGGAUCAACUAAUGACUGAGGUGAAGCUGGUGGAAAUCUGCACAGAUUGGUGCCCUCAUGAGUAAGUUCAUAUCCACAUGUACGGGCACAUCAGCUGGUUGACAUUACAGUAAACUUACUUUCAACAUAAUUGCAUGUCUGUAGCACAGUCUGGACAUGUGGCACAGAGCCAAGAAUAUGGCCAAGAUUGUUGCAGUAAGUGUUGAAUCUGGCAGUGAUCUGGCAGCAGUUGAGCUUUACAGCUUUACACUGUAAUUUUUUCAUUGUUGUUCUAUGACUGAUUGAUAUAUAUUUAUAUAUAUUUAACCUCUACAUCCAGGCAGCACAGAUCAGAGACCAGUCAGUCCUGCUCCUGUGGCUGAAGGACACUGUGAAGCAUAUGAAGAGUUCUUUUCAAGCAUCACACAUAAUCAUAACAUAUGUUUGGCCAAAAGUAUGUGGACACCUGAGCAUUACAGCUAUAUGUGAUAGUUGAACAUGUGAUAUAAUAUUGUUGGACUCAAGAUGAACGGUUUGGGAAAAAAAUGAUCAAAAUUGAUGCAGCAGAACCAGAGAUACCGCCUUUUUUCCGCCCACAUUCUCUUAUUUCAUAUCAAAAACCUGCUGCCUACUUUACCCACAAUGCAACUUAAUCACUGACAGAUGGGUUGCAGAUUCAGGUGUGUUUAUUUUCCUUUCUUGUUUUGUCUGACAGUCCAAAUCUAAAAGACUUUUUAAUUUACUGUCACAUAUGACAAAGUCAAGCAGAAAAUCAUCAACGUUUGAGAAUUGACAUUUUGCCUUUUUGCCUUGAAAAACAAAACUAACUAAUUGCAACUAAUCAACUAAUCAUUGCAGCUGUGAUGUAGAGACAGUUACACCAAUCACAGACCUCCAAACCACCUCCCUCUCUCUCUGCACACUGGACUUCUAACCUCCUUCACACCUCCACCUGUCAGCGCUGAAUGUGUUAUGUAUCCGUAUGUGUGUAUAUGAAUGGUAAUUCUGUAUCUGAUUAAGAUCGUGCCAAUAAAGUCUUUUGUAUUUUAAUUAGAGAGGAAGGGAUGGAGGGAUACGACAGCCUAUUACAGCCAACCUGACCUCAUUUUAACGACAUUAUUGUGAGAUAGUUUCAUGUUAUAAUGACAAAAAACAACAAAAAGAUACCGUCAGUGCCUGAAGAGAUGAUAUUUAUCGCCUACAUUGGCGAGAAAAAGGGCCAAUAAAGUAUCUGACAGACAAAAACAGUCAUAAAUGCUGAAAAAUUGGUGGAUGCUGGUGGAUCACGUCACUGAAACAGCAGCUGCUUGAAGUGAGUAUAAAUACUUUUGUGUUUAUGGAUGAAAUAACUCAAAGUAUGAAAUAACUCUGGAGAAGCAAUAACUUUGCCUCUCUUCUUCCUCCUGCUGCUGCUGACAUGAUUAUUUCAUGUAAUGACUUUUCUUCCUUUUCAUGGAGCCUC